CCUACGGGUGGCUGCAGUGGGGAAUAUUGGACAAUGGGCGAAAGCCUGAUCCAGCCAUGCCGCGUGUGUGAAGAAGGCCUUCGGGUUGUAAAGCACUUUCAGUGGGGAAGAAAGCCUUGGGGCUAAUACCCUCGAGGAAGGACAUCACCCACAGAAGAAGCACCGGCUAACUCCGUGCCAGCAGCCGCGGUAAUACGGAGGGUGCGAGCGUUAAUCGGAAUUACUGGGCGUAAAGCGCGCGUAGGCGGUCUGAUAAGCCGGUUGUGAAAGCCCCGGGCUCAACCUGGGAACGGCAUCCGGAACUGUCAGGCUAGAGUGCAGGAGAGGAAGGUAGAAUUCCCGGUGUAGCGGUGAAAUGCGUAGAGAUCGGGAGGAAUACCAGUGGCGAAGGCGGCCCUCUGGACUGACACUGACGCUGAGGUGCGAAAGCGUGGGUAGCAAACAGGAUUAGAUACCCCUGUAGUC
rnacentral:rRNA from 1 species